AAAAGCUUCCUGCUGGAAGCAAGAUCAUGGAGCAAUGCAUUCAAACUCAUAAGAAAAUGUGCUUACAGAAUCACAGUGUAUCAAUGCUGAAUAUUGCCCUGACCACAGUGACAAGGUACUACUUUGGAAGCACGAGGACGUGGGAAGAGUGUGCACUUGUGGAAGCCAACCCCUCACCCUGAUAACAAACCUAUGGCUGGUGCCUCAUCACAGAAGCAGGAUGGACAGCAGAGAGCCUGAAUCAGCACCUUACUGUCCCCGUGUGGCCUCACCUACUAGCCCCAGGACUCCAGCUUCUGUUCAACCCUCUCCUUGGCCCUGGCUGCUCCUUUUAGGCAUUCUGAAAAUAAGAGUCUCAAUGACAAGGUGUCAAGACUACCCAGAUGAAUUGUGUAACAACUGUGAAACGAGCUGUAGAGAGCCCGCAAAGAAAACACAGAAUACAUGGUGUCACUAAACCUGCAGAGUUGGCCCCAGAACAAAUCCACUACUAAGGUGACUUGAUGUGGCGAUGGGGUGUGUGGUGUUGGGAAGGAUCUGUGCUGUGUGGAAGAAAAGCUUACUUUAACUUCGUUAAAUUUCAUUCUUUUGAGCUGAUCAUGACAUGUUACAUUGCCUGCUUCUACGUUGCAGACAGACAUCAGGAGACAAAUGAAAUUUUCUAAGAUUAUCAGAGUGAGGAUGGCUUUUCCCUUCACCAUGUGGCAAAUAAGGGCCCAGGGGAGAAUUCCGAUGGUGGAAGCCACUUUACAUCAUAAACAGAACACAGAGAAACUAUUACAGGUAACUCACAAUGCUCUUUUCCAAUUAUGCCCAAACCUCAAAAGAUUUAUUUCAUUCACUAGCUAUUUCCAUAAAGACAGGACCAGAGUGAUAUACAAGUUUAUUAACACAAUCUGCAUUGUGAACAGUACCUCCUGGAGUUAUAUGAAAUGGAAAACCUGCAGGAAGAGCUUCUUCAAAAUGCAGAUUGACAUGCAAAUCCAACCGUUAGAGAAAAUGCCGCUGUGUAGCCUGACGGCAAUUAUUUCCCUUCAAGUGAGGUUUG